ACAUGCAAGUCGAACGGUAACAGGAAGCAGCUUGCUGCUUCGCUGACGAGUGGCGGACGGGUGAGUAAUGUCUGGGAAACUGCCUGAUGGAGGGGGAUAACUACUGGAAACGGUGGCUAAUACCGCAUAACGUCGCAAGACCAAAGAGGGGGACCUUCGGGCCUCUUGCCAUCAGAUGUGCCCAGAUGGGAUUAGCUUGUUGGUGAGGUAACGGCUCACCAAGGCGACGAUCCCUAGCUGGUCUGAGAGGAUGACCAGCCACACUGGAACUGAGACACGGUCCAGACUCCUACGGGAGGCAGCAGUGGGGAAUAUUGCACAAUGGGCGCAAGCCUGAUGCAGCCAUGCCGCGUGUAUGAAGAAGGCCUUCGGGUUGUAAAGUACUUUCAGCGGGGAGGAAGGUGUUGUGGUUAAUAACCGCAGCAAUUGACGUUACCCGCAGAAGAAGCACCGGCUAACUCCGUGCCAGCAGCCGCGGUAAUACGGAGGGUGCAAGCGUUAAUCGGAAUUACUGGGCGUAAAGCGCACGCAGGCGGUCUGUCAAGUCGGAUGUGAAAUCCCCGGGCUCAACCUGGGAACUGCAUUCGAAACUGGCAGGCUUGAGUCUUGUAGAGGGGGGUAGAAUUCCAGGUGUAGCGGUGAAAUGCGUAGAGAUCUGGAGGAAUACCGGUGGCGAAGGCGGCCCCCUGGACAAAGACUGACGCUCAGGUGCGAAAGCGUGGGGAGCAAACAGGAUUAGAUACCCUGGUAGUCCACGCCGUAAACGAUGUCUACUUGGAGGUUGUGCCCUUGAGGCGUGGCUUCCGGAGCUAACGCGUUAAGUAGACCGCCUGGGGAGUACGGCCGCAAGGUUAAAACUCAAAUGAAUUGACGGGGGCCCGCACAAGCGGUGGAGCAUGUGGUUUAAUUCGAUGCAACGCGAAGAACCUUACCUGGUCUUGACAUCCACAGAAGAAUCCAGAGAUGGAUUUGUGCCUUCGGGAACUGUGAGACAGGUGCUGCAUGGCUGUCGUCAGCUCGUGUUGUGAAAUGUUGGGUUAAGUCCCGCAACGAGCGCAACCCUUAUCCUUUGUUGCCAGCGGUUAGGCCGGGAACUCAAAGGAGACUGCCAGUGAUAAACUGGAGGAAGGUGGGGAUGACGUCAAGUCAUCAUGGCCCUUACGACCAGGGCUACACACGUGCUACAAUGGCGCAUACAAAGAGAAGCGACCUCGCGAGAGCAAGCGGACCUCAUAAAGUGCGUCGUAGUCCGGAUUGGAGUCUGCAACUCGACUCCAUGAAGUCGGAAUCGCUAGUAAUCGUGGAUCAGAAUGCCACGGUGAAUACGUUCCCGGGCCUUGUACACACCGCCCGUCACACCAUGGGAGUGGGUUGCAAAAGAAGUAGGUAGCUUAACCUUCGGGAGGGCGCUUACCACUUUGUGAUUCAUGACUGGGGUGAAGUCGUAACAAGGUAACCGUAGGGGAACCUGCGGUUGGAUCACCUCCUUACCUUAAAGAA
rnacentral:rRNA from 1 species